rnacentral:rRNA from 1 species
CAGUAGCCGCGGGAAAACGAAGGGGGCUAGCGUUGCUCGGAAUUACUGGGCGUAAAGGGAGCGUAGGCGGACAUUUAAGUCAGGGGUGAAAUCCCAGAGCUCAACUCUGGAACUGCCUUUGAUACUGGGUGUCUUGAGUGUGAUAGAGGUAUGUGGAACUCCGAGUGUAGAGGUGAAAUUCGUAGAUAUUCGGAAGAACACCAGUGGCGAAGGCGACAUACUGGAUCAUUACUGACGCUGAGGCUCGAAAGCGUGGGGAGCAAACAGGAUUAGAUACCCGUGUAGUCCCUGUCUCUUAUAA